rnacentral:rRNA from 1 species
GACGAACGCUGGCGGCGUGCCUAAUACAUGCAAGUCGAACGAGUGGCGGACGGGUGAGUAACACGUGGGAACCUACCCAUCAGAGGGGGAUAACACUUGGAAACGGUAGCUAAUACCGCAUACCAUCGGAGGUGACCAGAUGGGAUUAGCUAGUAGGUGGGGGAAAGGCUCACCUAGGCGACGAUCCCUAGCUGGUCUGAGAGGAUGACCAGCCACACUGGAACUGAGACACGGUCCAGACUCCUACGGGAGGCAGCAGUGGGGAAUAUUGCACAAUGGGCGCAAGCCUGAUGCAGCCAUGCCGCGUGUAUGAAGAAGGCCUUCGGGUUGUAAAGUACUUUCAGUCGGGAGGCGUUACCGACAGAAGAAGCACCGGCUAACUCCGUGCCAGCAGCCGCGGUAAUUC